CUUGUCUUUUAAAUGAAGACCCGUAUGAAUGGCAUAACGAGGGCUUAACUGUCUCCUCUUUCAGGUCAAUGAAAUUGAUCUCCCCGUGCAGAAGCGGGGAUAUAAACAUAAGACGAGAAGACCCUAUGGAGCUUUAGACACCAAGACAGCCCACGUUAAGCACCCUAAAUAAAGGACUAAACCAAGUGAGCCCUGCCCUAAUGUCUUUGGUUGGGGCGACCGCGGGGAAUUAAAUAACCCCCACGUGGAAUGGGAGCACCCUCUCCUACAACUAAGAACCACAGUUCUAGUAAACAGAAUUUCUGACCAAUAAGAUCCGGCAAUGCCGAUCAACGGACCGAGUUACCCUAGGGAUAACAGCGCAAUCCUCUUUUAGAGUCCAUAUCGACAAGGGGGUUUA
rnacentral:rRNA from 1 species